UGGGGAAUAUUGGACAAUGGGCGCAAGCCUGAUCCAGCAAUGCCGCGUGAGUGAUGAAGGCCUUAGGGUUGUAAAGCUCUUUCGCACGCGACGAUGAUGACGGUAGCGUGAGAAGAAGCCCCGGCUAACUUCGUGCCAGCAGCCGCGGUAAUACGAAGGGGGCUAGCGUUGUUCGGAAUUACUGGGCGUAAAGGGCGCGUAGGCGGCCUGUUUAGUCAGAAGUGAAAGCCCCGGGCUCAACCUGGGAAUAGCUUUUGGUACUGGCAGGCUUGAGUUCCGGAGAGGAUGGUGGAAUUCCCAGUGUAGAGGUGAAAUUCGUAGAUAUUGGGAAGAACACCGGUGGCGAAGGCGGCCAUCUGGACGGACACUGACGCUGAGGCGCGAAAGCGUGGGGAGCAAACAGGAUUAGAUACCCUGUAGUCCACGCCGUAAACGAUGAAUGCUAGACGUCGGGGUGCAUGCACUUCGGUGUCGCCGCUAACGCAUUAAGCAUUCCGCCUGGGGAGUAC
rnacentral:rRNA from 1 species